rnacentral:rRNA from 1 species
CCUACGGGUGGCAGCAGUGGGGAAUAUUGCACAAUGGGCGCAAGCCUGAUGCAGCGACGCCGCGUGCGGGAUGGAGGCCUUCGGGUUGUAAACCGCUUUUGUUCGAGGGCAAGGCACGGUCUUUGGCCGUGUUGAGUGGAUUGUUCGAAUAAGCACCGGCUAACUUCGUGCCAGCGGCCGCGGUAAUACGUAGGGUGCAAGCGUUUUCCGGGUUUAUUGGGCGUAAAGGGGUCGUAGGCGGUACGUCGCGUCCGGUGUGAAAGUUCAUCGCGUAACGGUGUUUCCGCGGCGGGUACUGGGGGGCUUGAGUGCGCGAGGGGAGAAUGGAAUGCCUGGUGUAACGGUGGAAUGUGUAGAUAUCGGGAAGAACACCAAUUGCGAAGGCAGGUCUCUGGGGCGCUACUGACGCUGAGGAGCGAAAGCGUGGGGAGCGAACAGGAUUAGAUACCCCGGUAGUC